rnacentral:rRNA from 1 species
UACGAAGGGGGCUAGCGUUGCUCGGAUUUACUGGGCGUAAAGGGCGCGUAGGCGGACAGUUUAGUCAGAGGUGAAAGCCCAGGGCUCAACCUUGGAAUUGCCUUUGAUACUGGCUGUCUUGAGUACGGGAGAGGUGAGUGGAACUCCGAGUGUAGAGGUGAAAUUCGUAGAUAUUCGGAAGAACACCAGUGGCGAAGGCGGCUCACUGGACUGGUAUUGACGCUGAGGUGCGAAAGCGUGGGGAGCAAACAGG